AUAAUGGGUCAGCGACUUAUAUUCUGUAGCAAGGUUAACCGAAUAGGGGAGCCGAAGGGAAACCGAGUCUUAACUGGGCGUUAAGUUGCAGGGUAUAGACCCGAAACCCGGUGAUCUAGCCAUGGGCAGGUUGAAGGUUGGGUAACACUAACUGGAGGACCGAACCGACUAAUGUUGAAAAAUUAGCGGAUGACUUGUGGCUGGGGGUGAAAGGCCAAUCAAACCGGGAGAUAGCUGGUUCUCCCCGAAAGCUAUUUAGGUAGCGCCUCGUGAAUUCAUCUCCGGGGGUAGAGCACUGUUUCGGCAAGGGGGUCAUCCCGACUUACCAACCCGAUGCAAACUGCGAAUACCGGAGAAUGUUAUCACGGGAGACACACGGCGGGUGCUAACGUCCGUCGUGAAGAGGGAAACAACCCAGACCGCCAGCUAAGGUCCCAAAGUCAUGGUUAAGUGGGAAACGAUGUGGGAAGGCCCAGACAGCCAGGAUGUUGGCUUAGAAGCAGCCAUCAUUUAAAGAAAGCGUAAUAGCUCACUGGUCGAGUCGGCCUGCGCGGAAGAUGUAACGGGGCUAAACCAUGCACCGAAGCUGCGGCAGCGACGCUUAUGCGUUGUUGGGUAGGGGAGCGUUCUGUAAGCCUGUGAAGGUGUGCUGUGAGGCAUGCUGGAGGUAUCAGAAGUGCGAAUGCUGACAUAAGUAACGAUAAAGCGGGUGAAAAGCCCGCUCGCCGGAAGACCAAGGGUUCCUGUCCAACGUUAAUCGGGGCAGGGUGAGUCGACCCCUAAGGCGAGGCCGAAAGGCGUAGUCGAUGGGAAACAGGUUAAUAUUCCUGUACUUGGUGUUACUGCGAAGGGGGGACGGAGAAGGCUAUGUUGGCCGGGCGACGGUUGUCCCGGUUUAAGCGUGUAGGCUGGUUUUCCAGGCAAAUCCGGAAAAUCAAGGCUGAGGCGUGAUGACGAGGCACUACGGUGCUGAAGCGACAAAUGCCCUGCUUCCAGGAAAAGCCUCUAAGCAUCAGGUAACAUCAAAUCGUACCCCAAACCGACACAGGUGGUCAGGUAGAGAAUACCAAGGCGCUUGAGAGAACUCGGGUGAAGGAACUAGGCAAAAUGGUGCCGUAACUUCGGGAGAAGGCACGCUGAUAUGUAGGUGAAGUCCCUCGCGGAUGGAGCUGAAAUCAGUCGAAGAUACCAGCUGGCUGCAACUGUUUAUUAAAAACACAGCACUGUGCAAACACGAAAGUGGACGUAUACGGUGUGACGCCUGCCCGGUGC
rnacentral:rRNA from 1 species